GUAGGUGAACCUGCGGAGGGAUCAUUCACAUGAUUUACUUUUAAACAAACCGUGAACUUUAUUUACUAUUCGUAUAUAUUAACAUUUGUUAUUAUUAUACUGUCAUUCGAUGAACAUUAGAUAGCUGGCUCGUUUUUUUCAUUAAAAACUUUCUCAGCUGAUUUGUAUUUGUUAGACUAAACAUCUAUUCAAUACAAUCAACCAAACAUAGAAACAACUCUAUGCCCUGGAUAUCUUGGUUCUC
rnacentral:misc_RNA from 1 species